GGGCCCGCACAAGCGGUGGAGCAUGUGGUUUAAUUCGAUGAUACGCGAGGAACCUUACCAGGGCUUAAAUGUAGGUUGCAUGAUCUAGAGAUAGAUCUUUCUUCGGACUACCUACAAGGUGCUGCAUGGUUGUCGUCAGCUCGUGCCGUGAGGUGUCAGGUUAAGUCCUAUAACGAGCGCAACCCCUGUCGUUAGUUACCAGCAAUUAAAGUUGGGUACUCUAGCGAGACUGCCAGGUGCAAACCGUGAGGAAGGUGGGGAUGACGUCAAAUCAUCACGGCCCUUACGUCCUGGGCUACACACGUACUACAAUGCUACGGACAAAAGGCAGCAAGUUCGCGAGGACAAG
rnacentral:rRNA from 1 species